rnacentral:lncRNA from 1 species
GAGCACCCUGCGAGGCUGCUACAGUCCGUCACUCCGUCAGUCCGUCCUUAAGCCGCGCCCAUGGCGACGAGGCGGUCCGGGGCCCUCGGCCACCUCCUCUCCUGGCGAGUCCUCGAUCCCCUCCACCCCGACGUCAACCACAACCUCCGCAUCCUCCACCGCGGCCUCGCCCUCUGGUCGAUGAAGAAGGACCCGGCCCUCGAAGCCGUCCUAUCCCGCAACCGCCGCUGGAUCGUCAACAACCAGAUCAAACACAUCCUCCUCCGC